rnacentral:rRNA from 1 species
CUCCCGCCGGCGACCGGCGCACGGGUGAGUAACACGUAUGAAACCUGCCCGUAGCAGGGGGAUAAGCGGAAGAAAUUCCGUCUAAUACCGCGUAACAACCCGAGGAGGCAUCUCCUCGGGUUUAAAGGAAGCGAUUCCGGCUACGGAUGGUCAUGCGUCGCAUUAGCUAGUUGGCGGGGUAACGGCCCACCAAGGCGACGAUGCGUAGGGGUUCUGAGAGGAAGGUCCCCACCACUGGUACUGAGACACGGACCAGACUCCUACGGGAGGCAGCAG